rnacentral:rRNA from 1 species
GAUGAACGCUGGCGGCGUGCCUAAUACAUGCAAGUCGAGCGAACGGACGAGAAGCUUGCUUCUCUGAUGUUAGCGGCGGACGGGUGAGUAACACGUGGAUAACCUACCUAUAAGACUGGGAUAACUUCGGGAAACCGGAGCUAAUACCGGAUAAUAUUUUGAACCGCAGGGUUCAAAAGUGAAAGACGGUCUUGCUGUCACUUAUAGAUGGAUCCGCGCUGCAUUAGCUAGUUGGUAAGGUAACGGCUUACCAAGGCAACGAUGCAUAGCCGACCUGAGAGGGUGAUCGGCCACACUGGAACUGGGACACGGUCCAGACUCCUACGGGAGGCCGCAGUAGGGAAUCUUCCGCAAUGGGCGAAAGCCUGACGGAGCAACGCCGCGUGAGUUAUGAAGGUCUUCGGAUCGUAAAGCUCUGUUAUUAGGGAAGAACAUAUGUGUAAGUAACUGUGCACAUCGUGACGGUACCUAAUCAGAAAGCCACGGCUAACUACGUG